rnacentral:lncRNA from 1 species
UUGUCCAAAUAUUCGACCCCAGCCUAAUCCCUUAGAGAGGUGCCGAGCCCUAAAAAUGCCUUGUCCAAAUAUUCGACCCGAGCCUAAUCCCUUAGAGAGAAUCUGACAACUAGAUAUCCAACUCCACCGUACUCUGCUACCGUCGUCAAGCCAUUAAGGCACGUGACCUCCGCAGGCCUCCGGCACACCCGAUCAUUAAUGCGUGUGACCCCUGCGGGCCUCCAGUGCACUCAACCAUUAAUGAACACGGCUCAAAAUGAUCUCCGGAUCACUGGACCAUCAAAGCGUAUGGCUCUCCCUGAUCACCGGUUCACUCAGCAAUUAAUGCACUUGCUAUCUACGAACCCCAGGCCCACCA